GACGAACGCUGGCGGCGUGCUUAACACAUGCAAGUCGAGCGGUAAGGCCCUUUCGGGGGUACGACGAGCGGCGAACGGGUGAGUAACACGUGGGUGACCUGCCCUCAGCUCUGGGAUAAGCCUGGGAAACCGGGUCUAAUACUGGAUAUGACUCCAUGACGCAUGUUGUGGGGUGGAAAGCCUUGUGCGGCUGAGGAUGGGCCCGCGGCCUAUCAGCUUGUUGGUGGGGUGANGGCCUACCAAGGCGACGACGGGUAGCCGGCCUGAGAGGGCGACCGGCCACACUGGGACUGAGACACGGCCCAGACUCCUACGGGAGGCAGCAGUGGGGAAUCUUGCGCAAUGGGCGAAAGCCUGACGCAGCGACGCCGCGUGAGGGAUGACGGCCUGGUUGGUAA
rnacentral:rRNA from 1 species